rnacentral:lncRNA from 1 species
GGGUUAAGGUAAGAAAAAAUAGUUUAUUAUAUGUAAUCAGAUUUAUUAGGAAUUAUUUUUCAUUGUAUACGAUUUCUGGUAUGCUAUUUUUUUUAUAUAUCGAAGGUAGAACCAUUCUAAUGCUAUAGGCCCUCAUGGAAAACUAUUUCCUUAUUUAAGAAAAUUAAAGAUUGUGUACAGUAAAGAUCAGGCAACUGGUGAAGCAGCAACAGAUGUAGAGGAUGGUUGUGUAG